CUUGUCGUGGCCGAGUGGUUAAGGCGAUGGACUAGUAAUCUUUUGGGAUCUUCCCGCGCAGGUUCGAAUCCUGCCGACAUCG
rnacentral:tRNA from 1 species